CAGGCCUAACACAUGCAAGUCGAACGGAAAGGCCCUGCUUUUGUGGGGUGCCCGAGUGGCGAACGGGUGAGUAACACGUGAGUAACCUGCCCUUGACUUUGGGAUAACUUCAGGAAACUGGGGCUAAUACCGGAUAGGAGCUCCUGCUGCAUGGUGGGGGUUGGAAAGUUUCGGCGGUUGGGGAUGGACUCGCGGCUUAUCAGCUUGUUGGUGGGGUAGUGGCUUACCAAGGCUUUGACGGGUAGCCGGCCUGAGAGGGUGACCGGCCACAUUGGGACUGAGAUACGGCCCAGACUCCUACGGGAGGCAGCAGUGGGGAAUAUUGCACAAUGGGCGGAAGCCUGAUGCAGCAACGCCGCGUGCGGGAUGACGGCCUUCGGGUUGUAAACCGCUUUCGCCUGUGACGAAGCGUGAGUGACGGUAAUGGGUAAAGAAGCACCGGCUAACUACGUGCCAGCAGCCGCGGUGAUACGUAGGGUGCGAGCGUUGUCCGGAUUUAUUGGGCGUAAAGGGCUCGUAGGUGGUUGAUCGCGUCGGAAGUGUAAUCUUGGGGCUUAACCCUGAGCGUGCUUUCGAUACGGGUUGACUUGAGGAAGGUAGGGGAGAAUGGAAUUCCUGGUGGAGCGGUGGAAUGCGCAGAUAUCAGGAGGAACACCAGUGGCGAAGGCGGUUCUCUGGGCCUUUCCUGACGCUGAGGAGCGAAAGCGUGGGGAGCGAACAGGCUUAGAUACCCUGGUAGUCCACGCUGUAAACGGUGGGUACUAGGUGUGGGGUCCAUUCCACGGGUUCCGUGCCGUAGCUAACGCUUUAAGUACCCCGCCUGGGGAGUACGGCCGCAAGGCUAAAACUCAAAGGAAUUGACGGGGCCCCGCACAAGCGGCGGAGCAUGCGGAUUAAUUCGAUGCAACGCGUAGAACCUUACCUGGGUUUGACAUGGAUCGGGAGCGCUCAGAGAUGGGUGUGCCUCUUUUGGGGUCGGUUCACAGGUGGUGCAUGGCUGUCGUCAGCUCGUGUCGUGAGAUGUUGGGUUAAGUCCCGCAACGAGCGCAACCCUUGUUCACUGUUGCCAGCACGUUAUGGUGGGGACUCAGUGGAGACCGCCGGGGUCAACUCGGAGGAAGGUGGGGAUGACGUCAAGUCAUCAUGCCCCUUAUGUCCAGGGCUUCACGCAUGCUACAAUGGCUGGUACAGAGAGUGGCGAGCCUGUGAGGGUGAGCGAAUCUCGGAAAGCCGGUCUCAGUUCGGAUUGGGGUCUGCAACUCGACCUCAUGAAGUCGGAGUCGCUAGUAAUCGCAGAUCAGCAACGCUGCGGUGAAUACGUUCCCGGGGCUUGUACACACCGCCCGU
rnacentral:rRNA from 1 species